CUCGGACAUCACCAGAAAAGCCGUUUGUGGGGCGCAUCAAACCAAAACCAGACGUCUGUGAUCGAAACCACUGUGAAGAGUUCAGUUUCUAUGUUUAUUAUCUAGCUAAUAUCUGAUGGUGAAACGCUGUGCGUGGGGUACCUGUAAUUCGGACACCAGGUACCCUAAAAGACUGGAUGGAGGAGUAUAUUUCGUACCUUUUCCGAAGCCCAAAAGAAAACUCAACAAAUGCAAGCGGUGGAUUAUGCUGUGUCGUCGACCACAUAGCACAUACACAACUGAAUGUGAAGACAAUUACCAAGGACACUUAUUAUUGCUCAAAGCACUUCAGAGAUGGGAAGCCAACUCUGGAAUAUCCAGAUCCCAUCCGGGCUCUCGUGUGUGCUGCUCCGAAAAGACACAGACCCUCAACCAAAAAAAGACCUCGUGUUUUAGUGUGCUCUGGAGGCACACAGAACAAUAUAGAGGAGUACCCGCAGUUGAAGGUAUCUGAUAAGACCACAGACAGACAGACAGACAGACAUGCGGCCGCUGUUCAGGGCUUGAUUAAAGGCCAAUCUUAGCGUGGUAACGAGACACAUUGUGUACCAGAAGCGUCCAGUGCAUCUUAUACAGAGAUGGGGUCGUUACUAAAAAAAAGUUAUAUAUUACAUAUUACUUUUUUUUAAAGUAAUUUAUUACACUACUUCGUUACUCUCUACAUAAAGUAACUCGUUACUUUACUCGUUACUUUACUCGUUACUUUACUCGCAGGGCCGGCCCGCCCCUCCCUACAGGCAGAU